rfam:Brachypodium distachyon strain Bd21 chromosome 1, whole genome shotgun sequence.
UUAGUACUCCGUCAGAUCCAAAUUAUUUGUCACAGCUUUGCCUAGAUACGCAUGUAUCUACACACUGAAAGGCGUCUAGAUACAUGUGUAUCGAGACAAAGUUGCGACAAGUAAUUUGGAUCGAAGGGAGUAAUAA